AAAAUCAAUUAAAACUUUCAACAACGGAUCUCUUGGUUCUGGCAUCGAUGAAGAACGCAGCGAAAUGCGAUAAGUAAUGUGAAUUGCAGAAUUCAGUGAAUCAUCGAAUCUUUGAACGCACAUUGCGCCCCCUGGUAUUCCGGGGGGCAUGCCUGUUCGAGCGUCAUU
rnacentral:rRNA from 1 species